AAAAGUUGAUCGUGUUUAUGACGUCGAAUAUCGACGUCAUAAACACCAAAGUUGAUCGUGUUUUUGACGUCGAUAUUCGACGUCAUAAACACCAAAG
rnacentral:miRNA from 1 species